GUCAUUCAGAGCCAGGGGUUGUGAUGGUCCCCUCUGUGUCCACUGUCCCCAGCGCAGGGUCCAGCACACCACAGUGGGUAGCAAAUGCUAUUUAAAUGAGAUGGGAUGAAAUUCCCUUCCUUCACUUUCUUCACCUCAAGGUAAGGACCAUGUUCCUGUUUCCGUCAUUCCCUGUCCUUCUCCUGUCUGUGGUUACAGCUUCCUGCUCCAAAACAAAAGCCUAUGCGGAUACCCAGAAGACCUGCUCCAUGAUUACCUGUGGCAUCCCCGUCACCAAUGGCACCCCAGGCAGAGAUAGGCGAGAUAGACCCAAGGGGGAAAAGGGAGAGCCAGGUCUGGGACAGGUUUCUGUGGCUUCCUAAAUCUCCACCUCCAGCAAGUGUUCAAGCAAAUCUGUGCUUGAGCCUGCCACACGAGGGUUAAAGCACAGACUUGGGGAGGCUCCCCUUUCAUCAGGACCCAUGCUACACUCAGAACAACCCCUGUAAAAUGCCAUUGCCUCCAAAACAAAGAUGUUUGCAGACUCUCUGGGAUCCCAUAUUUCCACACAGGAACUGGGGGUGUGUGGUUGUCCCUUCAGAGGGGUGUCCUGCCUGGUUGGGGAGCUGGCCUUGGUGCAGGCCCUCCACCAGGUUGCAGGAGAGUCUUUCUUCUUUGGGUCAGAUCACUGGCUCAUUGGCUGUUCCGGAGGUGAACAUGAAUGGAGCAUUGAGCUUUUGGGGAAAAAAAAAAAGAGUGACAGCCACUGGGUCAUCUUCCCUUUGUCUUGCAACAGGUCAAGGGCUCAGAGGUUUGCAGGGCCCUCCUGGGAAGAUGGGGCCCCCAGGAAAUACAGGGGCUUCUGGAAUUCCAGGACCUAGGGGCCAAAAAAGAGAUCAUGGGGACAAUUCAGUUGCUGAGGCUAAGCUGGCCAACUUAGAGAGAGAGCUACAGAGCCUGAGAUCAGAACUGGACCACACGAAGAAGCUGCAAGCCUUCUCCUUGGGGAAAAUGUCUGGGAAGAAGCUUUUCGUGACCAAUGGUGAGUGGAUGCCUUUCUCCAAAGUGAAGGCUGUGUGUGCUGGGCUCCAGGCCACAGUGGCUGCCCCCAAGAAUGCCGAGGAAAAUAAGGCCAUCCAGGAUGUGGCCAAAGACACUGCCUUCCUGGGCAUCACAGAUGAGGCAACUGAAGGCCAGUUCAUGUACUUGACGGGCGGGAGGCUGACCUACAGCAACUGGAAGAAGGAUGAGCCAAAUGACCACGGCUCAGGGGAGGACUGCGUUAUUCUCCUGAACAACGGGCUCUGGAAUGACAUCUCCUGCGCCUCCUCCUUCAUUGCCGUCUGUGAGUUUCCUGCCUGAAGAGGCACGUUCCUCAGCCCCCUCCUUGGCUCCCUGCUGAACUCUCUGCUGGAUCAGGGAGAGAAUUCAGUGUUGGAAGAGAAUUCAAUGUUGGUUUUCUUCU
rnacentral:sRNA from 1 species